UUAAAGACAAGCAAGAAUUGGAUGUGAGUUUCCACUUUCCAGGGAACCUUUCUAGAGAUGGUGUAAGCGUGGAACAAGAGAUGGAAUAGCUUUUACCAUUUAUAAGUUAAACGAAGGGGAGACAAAAUGGGAUGAAGUUGAAGGCAUUGGCGAUGAUAAAAUACUAUUUAUAACUUUUGAUGGGAGCUUCUUUGCCUCAGCAGAGGAUUUUCAAGGAUGGAAAGGCAAUUGCAUUGUCUUUUAUUGAGAAUUUGGCAUCUUAUCUAUCUGGGGUGUUCUGGCCACCUCCGACUUGGCUACCAUCAAAUGCGUGUAUGCCCAAUCGAGUGACAA